rnacentral:rRNA from 1 species
GCAAGUCGAACGGCAGACGAGGAGCUUGCUCCUUGGUGGCGAGUGGCGGACGGGUGAGUAAUACUUAGGAAUCUAUCCAGUAGUUGGGGAUAACGUGUGGAAACGCACGCUAAUACCGAAUACGCACUACGGUGGAAAGGAGGGGAUCUUCGGACCUUCCACUAUUGGGUGAGCCUAAGCCGGAUUAGCUAGUUGGUGGGGUAAGGGCCUACCAAGGCGACGAUCCGUAGCUGGUCUGAGAGGACGAUC